rnacentral:rRNA from 1 species
AUACGUAGGUGGCAAGCGUUGUCCGGAAUUAUUGGGCGUAAAGGGCGUGUAGGUGGAUUCUUAAGUCGUGUGUCUAAGUGCGGGGCUCAACCCCCGUAUAGGCGCAGGAAACUGGGAAUCUUGAGUGCAGGAGAGGAAAGUGGAAUUCCCAGUGUAGCGGUGAAAUGCGUAGAUAUUGGGAGGAACACCAGUGGCGAAGGCGACUUUCUGGACUGUGUCUGACACUGAGGCGCGAAAGCCAGGGGAGC